rnacentral:lncRNA from 1 species
CUGACUUGCCCAGUCUGGAAGCUCCCUGAAAGCCUGGCAGGCCACCCUACUUCAGCUGCAUUCGGUCCAUACACUGAGGGUCUCAGUGGGGAAAAAGCAGAGUCAUUUUAAAGAAACAUGGAUCUUAGUUUCUAGAAGGUUUUUCCCCAUCUGGCAGACAAAUUUAUGCCUAUUCCACACACAGUUCUGGAGGCUGGGAGGUUCAAGAUCAAGAUGCAGGCAGAUUCAUCUCCUGGCCCUCGUGUGUGAUGUUCUCCUCCCUGUAUCCCAGCGGAUUAAGAUGCUCAUUUCUUAAAAUUCAGGGGAAAGAUGGACACUACCGGUUCCGUGGCCCAGGGUUUUGGAAGAGGCGGCCUCCGGAUGACUGGAUGCACUUCUCCCUGGGACUCACCCUGUGUCGUUACAGCUCGAGCUUACUGAAAAUAACAGACAGACACCUCCACUUGUCCCCUCCAACAGAGUGGCUGCACUGGCAGCUCUCUAAUGAGUUCUAACCCCAUAGGGGCAGUUAUGAAACUGAUGCAAAAAGGAUACAAUCAAGAUAGAAGUCAAUAAGGAGCACAGAAGGCAUGAGUAAGACUUGCAUCAGAGAGGCCAAAACCCAAAAUGCGCUGGGGGUUGUGGGAGCGGCUGAAGAGCCUGGAGAAGCCGCUUAUAGUCAUUUUAAGUCAGAUUAAAGGAGUGUGUUUGGCUGACGAGAGGACCCCAUGCUUGCAUGUAUGGAGCCUUAUCUCAGCUUCCAUACCUACAAAGGGGACAUGAUUGGUGUCUACCCCAGAGAGUGGUUUUAAGAAUUAAACAAAAUGACGUGUGUGAAACUCUUGGAACAGUGUCUGGUUCAUGGCAGGAGGUGUCCGUGACGUGCCUGAGGCCAUUUGUGUGCUUACCUGUGUGUUUCUGUAAAGCAGACCCAGUGCAGGGCACCAGGGAUGUGGUGGGAGCCACACGGGAUGAUGACGUUCCUACCCUCAGGGAGCUCACACUUACGAGGGGGCAGUAGAGGUUGGGAGUGGAUAGCCUUGGAGGAGAGGGGUGGGGGUUGUCGGGAAGAGGGAGGGCUUACCUGAGCAGGAGCUGUUGAAACUGCAAGGGAGGCGGCUGGGUGGUGAGGGCAGAGCAGCAGCAAAAGGUUGGGGAUAAGGAACUGAGAGUGGGCCCUGACUGCUGAACAGGGACUGCUGUGGCAAGAGGCUUGGAGGAAGCAGAACUCAGGCACUUUCUGUUUGGUUUUAGUCUUCCUUGACAAACAGAAUCAAUUUCAGAUGAAAACGGCUUCAAUAUUGCAGAGAGGAAAUCAAAAGAGCAACUUAGCCGAGUGUGGUGGUGCAUCUGUAGUCCCAGCCACU